rnacentral:lncRNA from 10 species
GGAAACUGGGAGAAGACUGUGAGAGUUCCCAGACUGCCAUGUGGGUCUUACCCAGUGCAGGAGAGAGGGGACAGGAGAAAAGGUAUGGGGAAUCACCUUAGACUACAGUACCAUCUAAGGAAAGGACAGCAAGGCCAUUAGAAAGUCCUCGAACCACAGUCACCCAUAGGAGGGAUCCCCAACCCCCGGGAAUGGGCCUUACUUAGCAUCUGUUUCACUGUCAGUAAUUGGCUGAAAGCAGCCCACGGGCAGCAUGAAUGCACUGAAUUUCAGAGUGCAGCAACUGGGCUCGCUGGUCUAUUUUGCUCCCUGCAGUUGGAGGUCUGAGAGGGGGCGUUCGCUUGCCUGCUACCACGUCCAGUAUGACAGAGGACUCCGCGGCCCGAGAAAGCAGUUGAUUUAGAAGAAGGAAAGACCCUGCCCUGCAGAAUCAUUAUGGAAGCUACUGAGUGACAAGGCAUCCCUGCAUUGGUCCUUUAUAUGACAAGGUUCUGAAAAAAGAGGACAGCACCUCCUAUGAAGAGCAUGGAGACCCUAACGAGAUGCAGCCACCUCUGGUGAUACGUUAUUGUCAAGAACCUGGACACCGGCUGAAGUCAGGGUCCCACCAGCAUUUGGGGACCUCCCCCAGCCCAUUCAUAUCAUUGGCACCAUGUUCUUGGACUUCUCAGCCUCUGGAUUGGGUCAACUGUCAGCACCAGAAGAAGAGGAACCAGCAUGCAUCAGCAACCAGGACCUAGGAGUGCUAAGUGGAGAGCUUGAGGACAGAAUAGAGAGGGAGCCUAUCAGGCUGAGCUGCCUCUUGGCUCUUCCCUUCAAAUCACUUGAAGUGUCAAGAUUGGUGAGGAUUAGACUCCUUUGGGUUAAUCCCUAAUGUUGUUGACAUAGUUACAAGUAACUGUCAAAAUUUACAUUUCACAUGAAUCAUUAAAUAAAACUUACAGGAGGCCAUUGUUUUUGACUGAGCUCCUGCACUAGGCCCCAACAGACCAAACCAAAAUGGAGUCACUUGUGUUAAGUGCCACAUAAUCAAAACGUAAAGGAAGAAGAAAAAUCCCUAAAUAGACCAACUUUUCUAAAAACAAGAGAUUCACAGCAACAAAUUGGAAAGGGCCCAGUCAACCUGAGCAUGAUAAGAAAGUUUCUUCUGCUUUAAUUCUUAUAAGCAAAGUAACCUGAUGUUAACCAAGUCACUUUUUUUGGUAUUAUUCUGUUUCAUUGUUCCUGCUCAAGCUACCUUACAAAAACCAAUGGUUCUGCUAUGCCCAAGGAAGCUCUCUUUAUUUUUAGAUGGGAUGCUGCCCAAUUUAUGAAUAGCCAAUAAAAGCCCAUUAGAUUUUUUAUUACAUUUGUUGAAAUUUUGUUUUCCAACAGAGUAAAUUUUUAGGUUUUAUUUUACACAACUGGCUCAAAUAUUUUAUAAGAUGUUCACCAAAAGAGAAAUUUGUUUAAUUUAAUUUUAUUUUUUUUCCUUGAGAUGGAGUCUUGCUCUGUCACCCAGGCUGGAAUGCAAUGGCUCAAUCUCAGCUCAUUGCAACCUCCGUCUCCUGGGUUCAAGUGAUUCACCUGUCUCAGCC